UACAGAGGGUGCGAGCGUUAAUCGGAAUUACUGGGCGUAAAGCGUGCGCAGACGGUCACGUAAGUCGGGUGUGAAAGCCCCGGGCUCAACCUGGGAAUUGCAUUCGAGACUGCGUGGCUAGGGUGCGGAAGAGGGAAGCGGAAUUUCCGGUGUAGCGGUGAAAUGCGUAGAUAUCGGAAGGAACACCAGUGGCGAAAGCGGCUUCCUGGUCCAGCACCGACGUUCA
rnacentral:rRNA from 1 species